GGUGGCUCAGGUUGUAGCAGGGCCCUUGGCCGAUCUUCUCUACCCUCAGGUCAGCGCCGAAUGAACCUGUCGAGCCGACCUCGUCUGAUGAGCUCCUCGAUCUCGUCCCAGAGUUGAAUGCAUUCCUCCGUGUCGUGGCCGUGGUCACGAUGGUAGAGGCAGAACUUGUUAGGAUUGCACUUCCCGGGGUGCGUGUGCAUCCUCUCUGGCCUUGGGAGCUGCUCUCUGACCUCCAUCAGCACCUGGAUUUUCGAUACGUUGAGGGGGGCAUAGCUGUGGAAUCUUCCUGGAGGAGAGCCCCGUCGAGCCCGGCGCUCCGGGCU
rnacentral:lncRNA from 1 species